GUCUAUGGCCCCACCAACCUGAACGCACCCAGUCUCAUCUGAUCUCGGAAGCUAAACAGGGUCGGGCCUGGUUAGUACUUGGAGGGAGACCAUAAGCAUCAGUAGAAUCUCUUGGAUU
rnacentral:rRNA from 1 species